UCAAACGCGAUGACAGGGACAGUAGAGCGGCAAUGGAUCGGCCAAAAGCGAACCGGGGAUGGUGGAAGCCCGGCGGCCAUCUGCGGCUUAAAGAUCACCCUUGAGCAUUUUUCGUGAACGAAUGAGUAGCGAAAAACGGUUUAUCCACGUUAUGGAUUGUGAGCGGAUAGUUCUUAACUGUCAACCAGGGUGGUACCGCGGAAACCUUUCCGUCCCUUUU
rnacentral:ncRNA from 1 species